rnacentral:rRNA from 1 species
CCUUGCGGCCGUACUCCCCAGGCGGUCGACUUAUCGCGUUAGCUGCGCCACUAAGAUCUCAAGGAUCCCAACGGCUAGUCGACAUCGUUUACGGCGUGGACUACCAGGGUAUCUAAUCCUGUUUGCUCCCCACGCUUUCGCACCUCAGUGUCAGUAUCAGUCCAGGUGGUCGCCUUCGCCACUGGUGUUCCUUCCUAUAUCUACGCAUUUCACCGCUACACAGGAAAUUCCACCACCCUCUACCGUACUCUAGCUCAGUAGUUUUGGAUGCAGUUCCCAGGUUGAGCCCGGGGAUUUCACAUCCAACUUGCUGAACCACCUACGCGCGCUUUACGCCCAGUAAUUCCGAUUAACGCUUGCACCCUUCGUAUUACCGCGGCUGCUGGCACGAAGUUAGCCGGUGCUUAUUCUGUUGGUAACGUCAAAACAGCAAGGUAUUAACUUACUGCCCUUCCUCCCAACUUAAAGUGCUUUACAAUCCGAAGACCUUCUUCACACACGCGGCAUGGCUGGAUCAGGCUUUCGCCCAUUGUCCAAUAUUCCCCACUGCUGCCUCCCGUAGGAGUCUGGACCGUGUCUCAGUUCCAGUGUGACUGAUCAUCCUCUCAGACCAGUUACGGAUCGUCGCCUUGGUAGGCCUUUACCCAACCAACUAGCUAAUCCGACCUAGGCUCAUCUGAUAGCGUGAGGUCCGAAGAUCCCCCACUUUCUCCCUCAGGACGUAUGCGGUAUUAGCGCCCGUUUCCGGACGUUAUCCCCCACUACCAGGCAGAUUCCUAGGCAUUACUCACCCGUCCGCCGCUGAAUCCAGGAGCAAGCUCCCUUCAUCCGCUCGACUUGCAUGUGUUAGGCCUGCCGCCAGCGUUCAAUCUGAGCCAGGAUCAAACUCUC